rnacentral:lncRNA from 1 species
UGGGCCCUUGAGGAAUCACCCAACAAAAAUGUCCAUUCAUGUUAUUUGGUAAGCCAGUCCUAUCUUUCUGUGCUCUGCCCUGCUCUGCUCUCCUCUGUCCCUUUUCUCUUUGAGCUCCAAAGUUACAUGUGGCUUGCAAAGAGUUGGAGUUAUUUGGUAAGCCAGUCCUAUCUUUCUGUGCUCUGCCCUGCUCUGCUCUCCUCUGUCCUUUUUCUCUUUGAGCUCCAAAGUUACAUGUGGCUUGCAAAGAGCUGGAGUCUAUUUUUCAUGGCC